AUUGAACGCUGGCGGCAGGCCUAACACAUGCAAGUCGAGCGGAUGAAGGGAGCUUGCUCCUGGCUUCAGCGGCGGACGGGUGAGUAAUGCCUAGGAAUCUGCCUGGUAGUGGGGGAUAACGUCCGGAAACGGGCGCUAAUAUCGCAUACGUCCUGAGGGAGAAAGUGGGGGAUCUUCGGACCUCACGCUAUCAGAUGAGCCUGGGUCGGAUUAGCUAGUUGGUGGGGUAAAGGCCUACCAAGGCGACGAUCCGUAACUGGCCUGAGUGGGUGAUCAGACACACUGGAACUGAGACAGGGCCCAGACUCCUGCGGGAGGCAGCAGUGGGGAAUAUUCCGCAAUGGGAGAAAGCCUGACGGAGCAACGCGGCGUGAGUGAUGAAGGUCUUCGGAUUGUAAAACUCUGUUAUUAGGGAAGAAGAAAUGUGUAAGUACCUAUGCUUGUUUUGACGGUACCAAAUAAGAAAGCCACGGCUAGCUUCGUG
rnacentral:rRNA from 1 species